AUUGAACGCUGGCGGCAUGCUUUACACAUGCAAGUCGAACGGUAACAGGCCUUCGGGUGCUGACGAGUGGCGCACGGGUGCGUAAUGCAUCGGAACGUGCCCAGAGGUGGGGGAUAACGCAGCGAAAGCUGUGCUAAUACCGCAUGUGAUCUGAGGAUGAAAGCGGGGGACCAGGCAGCAAUGUUUGGCCUCGCGCCUUUGGAGCGGCCGAUGUCAGAUUAGGUAGUUGGUGGGGUAAAGGCCUACCAAGCCGACGAUCUGUAGCUGGUCUGAGAGGACGACCAGCCACACUGGGACUGAGACACGGCCCAGACUCCUACGGGAGGCAGCAGUGGGGAAUUUUGGACAAAGGGCGCAAGCCUGAUCCAGCAAUGCCGCGUGCGGGAAGAAGGCCUUCGGGUUGUAAACCGCUUUUGUACGGAACGAAAAGGCUCUGGCUAAUACCUGGGGCUGAUGACGGUACCGUAAGAAUAAGCACCGGCUAACUACGUG
rnacentral:rRNA from 1 species